CGUCCGCUCUCUGUAAUCCGCCUGCGGUUCACGAGGGCAUUGGCUCUCGCGUGGCAGCUUGUUCUUUCCUUCACGGCCUAGGCAAAGACUUUCGUUCGAGAGAGGUCACGCGGAUAAGUCACACCGAUCACGCACGAAGUGCCACAUGUUUGAAGAAGGCAUCGAGCGUUACUUUCAGCUGCUAAAACAAUAUCCUGCGCAAUCCGAGAUGGCGUCUAUUACCCGACGAAGCGUACCAUUUUACCUUUCAUCGUCUCAAGACUCAAGAAGGAUUCAAUAGUUGCUCGACAGAUGGCACGAGAUCGUUAGCGGCGUUUGCGUCUUCCCAUUCAAAAAUGAUAAAAUUUACAAAACGGAAAAUGUAACAAGAAGACAAAAGAAAUAUAUUCGCAGUUUUUUUCGCUGGAGCAACUCGAAACUUGCACCUACGCAAAUCCAUCGGACCACUAACAGGUCGCAGUAGCGGAUUGUAUUUUCGAAGCGCCCGCACAUAUAAAUCGCAACAGCCUUGUGUUUAUGUGCCAAUUGUUAAUUGUCAGAUUUUCAUUUUCAUUAAUCUAUUACGAUCGAAGUACUCAUUUUGAUCGUUCGUGUUCUUCCUUCUUUUCUAUCUUCUUUCCCAACUAUAUCUCGUACGCAUGUUCCAAAAUCGGUUUCGAAAACUCUGACUUUAGUUAUACGAUUUUAGCUAUUAAUUUUGUAAGAUUGAAUAGAGAAAUGGAGAGAUUUUUAUUACUUUUGUUAUCUUACCGAAUCUCUCAAUCGUAUGAAUCAGCCGAUCAAUUAAAGAACUAACUCCAAGUUAGUUGAAGGCCUUGUAAGGCUUAUAACCAAAGAUAUAAUCAAAGUUUCCGAAAGCGAUUUCGAAACAGGCUUUGUAAAAAGCACCGGGACAGCGAAAUAUCUCGAAAACUAAACAUUUUAGACA